rnacentral:rRNA from 1 species
GACGUAGGGCGCGAGCGUUGUCCGGAUUUAUUGGGCGUAAAGAGCUCGUAGGCGGCUUGUCGCGUCGUCCGUGAAAACCUGCAGCUCAACUGCAGGCUUGCGGUCGAUACGGGCAGGCUGGAGUUCGGUAGGGGAGACUGGAAUUCCUGGUGUAGCGGUGAAAUGCGCAGAUAUCAGGAGGAACACCGGUGGCGAAGGCGGGUCUCUGGGGC